GGGCCCGCACAAGCGGUGGAGCAUGUGGUUUAAUUCGAUGAUACGCGAGGAACCUUACCAGGGCUUAAAUGUAAGUUGCAUGGAUCAGAGAUGAUCCUUUCUUCGGACUACUUACAAGGUGCUGCAUGGUUGUCGUCAGCUCGUGCCGUGAGGUGUCAGGUUAAGUCCUAUAACGAGCGCAACCCCUAUCGUUAGUUGCCAGCGGGUAAUGCCGGGUACUCUAGCGAGACUGCCAGUGCAAACUGUGAGGAAGGUGGGGAUGACGUCAAAUCAUCACGGCCCUUACGUCCUGGGCUACACACGUGCUACAAUGGCCGGUACAGAGAGCAGCCACUUCGCGAGAAGGAGCGAAUCUUCAAAGCCGGUCUCAGUUCGGAUCGCAGUCUGCAACUCGACUGCGUG
rnacentral:rRNA from 1 species